rnacentral:rRNA from 1 species
GAUGAACGCUAGCGGCAGGCCUAAUACAUGCAAGCCGAACGGCAAGUUGAGUAGCAAUACUUGACCUAGAGUGGCGUAAGGGUGCGUAACACGUAUGCAAUCUGCCCUCAACAGGAGGAUAGCUCCCCGAAAGGGAAUUAACCCUCCAUGGGAGUCUUAGAGUGGCAUCACUUAGAGAUUAAACCGCAAGGGGUUGAGGAUGAGCAUGCGCAUGANAGUUAGUUGGCGGGGUAACGGCCCACCAAGACGAUGAUCAUUAGGGGAAC